rnacentral:lncRNA from 1 species
CAGAGUGGCUACAUCACAGAGCCUCUGACCCUGAGAUCCAGCCCCAGAACUUGCCAGUCAAGAUGAAAAACUUCUUCUAAUGGAAUCCAGCUUGAAAGCUACUCAAGAGCAGCUAACUGAGCAAAUAGCAGAAACAGUUCGCCAAGAACAGAACAGUAGAAAACCCCAGGCAGAGCUGAAGACAGUGACAGAAGGGAUUAUUGCUUCUGAAGAAGAAAAAAAAUGAUUACAAGACUGUCCUCACACUGUCACCCAGGCUGGAGUGCACUGGCGCGAUCUCGGCUCACUGCAACCUCUGCCUCCUGGGUUCAAGCGAUUCUCCUGCCUUAGCCGUGAUGUUCAGUUUCUAAUACUGUAAUCACCUAUUUUACCGUCUUUUACAACUUCGUUGUAGGAGGUGUGAAAGAGGAGGGAAAUUGUGUUGGGAAGAGGAGAUUAGGACAUCAAGAGACACCAAGAGUAACCAUGUACAGAGAAAAACAUCAUAUGAAGACACAGCAAGAAGGUGGCCAUCUGUAAGCCAAAGAGAGGCCUCAGAAGAAACCAAAUCUGCUAACACAAUCAUGGACUUUCAGCCUCCAGGACUGUGUGAAAAUAAAUUUCUGCUGUUUAAGCCACCCCAGUGUCUGGAAUUCUAUGGCAGUUUGAUGGAGAGACUCAAAUUAACAAAGAACUGUGGAAUAUUUCUAGCCAAAAGCCACUGGGGAACUGAUUCCUGCCAACAACCACUGAACUUCGAAGUAGAUCCAUCAGCAACUGGACCCUCAGAUGCGACCCAUGUAUGACACCUUGAUUGGGAUCCUGUGAGAGACCCUCAGGCAGAGCACCUAGUUAAGUCAAACUCAGAUCGCUGACUCCCAGAAACUGUAAGCACUCUCCUGCAUACCUGUCACCAAACCUCCAGGUCAAUCUCACAUUUACUCUUGAAGAAAUGGAGUCGAAGAUGAAAUAGAAAAUAAUUAGAUAAUGAAAUGCUAAUAUAGGAAUUGAAUGUCAGCUGCAGUGCUCAGAAGCAUAAGAUUGUGAUAAAUGUUUUGGAGGAAAAUAGAAAGAAGGCUGUGGUUUGAAACGUCUCAACAAACUUCCAAUCAUGCAAAACUUGAGGGAACGAGGAACAGCAAAGCUUGGCACUUUGGAAGCUUGAUAACAUCACAGCAUGGAAGAAAAGUGGAAGGAAGAAAAAGAAAGAAAGAAAGAAGGAAGGAAGGAAG